AACAAUCCGGAAGCAAGAGGAUAGCUAUAUACCAGAUGAAAAAUCUGGUAAAGAAGACUUGCCGGAAGCUACUCCAAAGGAUAUGCCAGAAAAGAGAUUAUUGGAUAGACUAGUGCAUAGAAGUGGUGACGAUGUUCCUACCGCUGGUGAAAAUUCUUGUUUGAACCAAAAAGUGGAAAUCAAGUCACAAGCAGGGUCCUUCACUGGAUGAAACUCCUAAAAAGAAGAAAACUGCAGCUAAUUUGAGGAAAGAAGAUGAUAACCAUGUGCCCGAUGCACAAUGUAGAAAUGAAGUGCUUCAGAAAUGUAAUGAUGAGAGUGGAACAGAUAUUGAUAAGAAUAGCUCAAGUAGCAUCUCUUUAAUAAGAGAUAAAGCUAGCUUAUAUAAGAAAACCAAAGUUCACCAGACGCAAGAAGAAAAGAGAGCUGUGCACAAAGUAUCUGGACAGGGAGAUUUUGGGAUAGUAAACACCACUAACUCGAGUAAUGGUCCAUUGACAAGAAGCAGAGCUAAAAAGAAAUGGUUAAAAGAACAAGGUCAAGAAGGAAAUAGAUAUCUGUGAAGGUGUUAUGGGAGUUUUGUUGUGCAGAUAAGCUACCUGUGGAUAUUAAUCUGGAAAUUCCUCAAAUCAUAACGUUUAUGGAUUUGUCAUUAUCUUAUUGUAGUCCACAAGGGAGGUAAAUUUUGAAGGUUAUGUAUUUCUUGUUUUUGUUAUGGAUUACAUCACACCUCCUGAAUUUUGUGGGUAUCAAAUGGUUCAUGCCUGGGAGUAUACAUGAUCUUUACCGAUGUUGAUGCAAGUAUGGACAAGACAAAGUAAGGAAUAGCUGGUGGAAUACUGUUCCUUGUUUCUGGUGUGUGGUUUGGUGAGAAAGGAACUCCAUGUGUUUUGAAGAGAAGCAUUACAGACGAUUAAGUUAGAUUGUCUUUUGUUGUUUCAUUUUUGAUGUAAACUGAAAUCUGCUAAUGAGACAGAAACUCUAUUAGAGUUCAUAUAGUCUUUCUAAGUUUAGGAGAGGUCUUACUUUUCUUUUCUUUUUCUGCUCACAUGUACAAAAUUUACAGCACUCAAUUUGUGUUGUUUUGUGAAUACAAUUACAAUAAUCACCUUUCGAAAAAAGCAUUUCAGUUUUUUCCUUUUUGUGUUCCUCAUAAGUAGAUCAUGGUCGUGCUAAGACCAAGUGAUGUGAAGAAGAUUAGUCAGUUUCUUCAUGUGACAAGAUAAGUUGACAAGGUAGACAGCACUAAAACGGAGGUAAAUCAAGUUGACACAAUUAACAAGUCAAAAAGACUCAAACUACAUGGAAAGGACAAGAAAGUAUACUAAAUGUCAAAGCCAUCUUGAAGAAGCAAAAGUUUCAAAGUCUCCUCUACAAAUCUAUAUACUUGGUAUAUUCCUCUUCCUCAUUUCUUCUUCAACCAUCUGCAUUUAUAUUAAUUUUGUUCAAGUUUUCUUAUACAUCGAACCAUUGUGAAGAAAGA